rnacentral:rRNA from 1 species
GUCGAGCGAUUAAAGCCCCUUCGGGGGUGUAUAAAGCGGCGAACGGGUGAGUAACAGGUGGAUAAUCUUCCUUCCGGAGGGGGACAACGGCUGGAAACGGCCGCUAAUACCGCAUACGAUUGUUGAAUCGCAUGGUUCGACAAGGAAAGGGGCAAUUGCUCCGCCGGAAGAUGAGUCCGCCCCCCAUUAGCUUGUUGGCGGGAUAACAGCCCACCAAGGCUUCGAUGGGUAGCCGAGCUGGGAGGUUGAUCGGCCACACUGGAACUGAGAUACGGUCCAGACACCUACGGGUGGCAGCAGUAGGGAAUAUUGCGCAAUGGGCGAAAGCCUGACGCAGCCAUGCCGCGUGGAUGAUGAAGGCCUUCGGGUCGUAAAGUCCUUUUCUGAGGGAAGAACAGGCCGUGGAGUGGAAAGCCACGGUUUUGACGGUACCUCAGGAAUAAGCAACGGCUAACUCCGUGCCAGCAGCCGCGGUAAUACGGAGGUUGCAAGCGUUGUUCGGAAUUACUGGGCGUAAAGGGAGCGCAGGCGGUUUGGUCAGUCUAAAGUGAAAUCCCGGGGCUCAACCUCGGACGUGCUUUGGAUACUGCCAGGCUUGAGUUCGUGAGAGGAAAGCGGAAUUCCAGGUGUAGC